GCUUCUACUCUAACUUAUCUCCAAAAUUCAGUUCUUUCUUUCUUUUAAACUCCCACUGACUGCGUGUGGAUAGAAGAGUUGACUCAUUGCCACAUUUAAGUCAUGUAGCAUGUCAGGCAUCCUUUUCUUAAAAUUCCUUUGGCUCUCUCUCCUUAGCUUUUUCCUACAUCCUCUCAGAAGAAAAAGAAAUAACUACCUGACCCUCACCACACUAACCCAUCACCUCAGCCCAUUCCAUUUCCAAUGUGCAUCAACUCAACUUUCCUAGGGGUCACUACUUUUCUCCCCCUUUAUAGAAAAUGGAUUUUUUCAUAUAAUAUAUUCUAAUAAUGGUUUCUCUGCUCUCUAUUGCUCCAAGUUCUUCCCCACUUCUCCUCCCAUCUGGACCCACCACACUCUCUGUAUCUUAUUUUAAAACAAAAAUAAAAAAUAAGAUUAAAAAAAAGAAAAAAAAAUCCCUGACAGGACAUCAUGAAGCAAGAAAACUUGUUAAUUAAUACAAGAUGUGCUUGGAUUAUUUUUUUAAUUUUAAUUUUUUUUUUUGGCUAUCUACAGCUGGGCAAAUGGCCUACCUUCAGAGUAGUUUGUUCUCUAGAGGGACUUCCUUGGAGGAAAAGAAAUUUCUAUUUGCCAGUGGUUAUCAAUUCGAGAUUGCUUCUGGGUUAGGGAUGGGACCGACCAUGCAUCCACUUCUACUUUCAGCUCUAGGACCCCAACUGAUGCAGAUCUAAGCUUUCUGGCCUUCUUCAGCCCAGGACCCAGAAGUACCUUAGAAAUAUCCCAGUUCCCGCAGGCCUACCAAAUGACUCCCUUAGGUUUAGUCAUGGGAGAGUAUUUUGGUAUUUCACUAUGAUGUGUGCUCACAUGUAUUUAUCUACACAAAAGCAAUAAAUUCCUUUUCUUCAACAUGUAGUUGAAAUUGCUAUGCUCGCUUUGGGUGGAUAUGAAAUAAAUAUUAAGGACUCAGAUAAGGUUUGGUGUCCAAAUAUUACUCUAAUUUCUCUUUUAUUGUAGAGUUCUGGUUGAGAUCAGGGCUUCUUUUCUUCAGAACUGAAGAAAAGAAGACUUUCAACACACUUGUUGAUUAAAUGUUCAUACUUUCCAGGAUGCUAGCUGUUGCCUGGGAGGCUGAGUCUCAUACUUAUACUUUUUCAUUGAGACACAAAGCAUGAAGACUGCAUUUCCCACACUUUCCUGACAAGUGGCUUUUCAGGUACCAGGACUCUUCACUGACAUAUCCAGGCUCUGAACCACACUUCAACCCUCAGACAACAGCUGGUGCAAUUUCAAAGCCCCCAAGGGAACCUGCUGGUUGUACAGACAUUUUCAACAUUGCCAGGAUUACUUUAACUGGACUCUCUUCAUAAUUCCUUCCUUCUCUUGAAAAGGCCAGGAUGGAGACAUCUCAGAAGCCUGUGGUGGCUUCUCUUUGUAAAAAAAGAAGAAGAAGAAGAAGAAGAAGAAGAAGAAGAAGAAGAAGAAGAAGAAGAGGAAGAAGAAGAGGAAGAAGAAGAAGAAGAAGUUGUUCCCAUUUCCCCAUUUCUCCUAACCUUAUCGAUGGACAACAGGAUCAAUAAAAGACUGGAGCAAAAAGGGGUCUGCAACCCUAUAGGUGGAACAACAAUAUGAACUAACGAGUACCCCUGGAGCUCGUGUCUCUAGCUGCAUGUGUAGCAGAAGAGGGCCUAGUCGGCCAUCAGUGGACAGAGAGGCCCAUUGGACUUGCAAACUUUAUAUGCCUCAGUACAGGGGAAUGCCAGGGCCAAGAAGUGGGAGUGGGUGGGUAGGGGAGUUGGGAGGGGGUAUGGGGGACUUUUGUGUAGCAUUGGGAAUGUAAAUGAAGAAAAUAUCUAAUAAAAAAUUAAAAAAAAAGACUGGAGCAAAAGGUGAGGAGUGAGAGGAGUGUGGAGUGAGUGAGUGAGGUGUGUGUGUCUGAGAGAGUGUGUGAUGGUUUGUAUAUCCUUGGACCAGGGAGUGGCACCAUCUGGAGGUGUGGCCUUGUUGGAAUAGGUGUGACCUGGUUGGAAUGGGUGUGUCACUGUGGGUGUGGGUAUAA
rnacentral:lncRNA from 1 species